UAGAGUUUGAUCCUGGCUCAGGACGAACGCUGGCGGCGUGCUUAACACAUGCAAGUCGAACGAUGAAGCCUUCGGGUGGAUUAGUGGCGAACGGGUGAGUAACACGUGGGCAAUCUGCCCUGCACUCUGGGACAAGCCCUGGAAACGGGGUCUAAUACCGGAUAAUACUGUGCCCCUCAUGGGGGACGGUUGAAAGCUCCGGCGGUGCAGGAUGAGCCCGCGGCCUAUCAGCUUGUUGGUGGGGUAAUGGCCUACCAAGGCGACGACGGGUAGCCGGCCUGAGAGGGCGACCGGCCACACUGGGACUGAGACACGGCCCAGACUCCUACGGGAGGCAGCAGUGGGGAAUAUUGCACAAUGGGCGAAAGCCUGAUGCAGCGACGCCGCGUGAGGGAUGACGGCCUUCGGGUUGUAAACCUCUUCAGCAGGA
rnacentral:rRNA from 1 species